rnacentral:lncRNA from 1 species
UGUCGGGCUCAUAGAGGUUGUAGUAGGGUGAGCACAAUAGGAAGAUCAUGUCCACUAGGAUAGGAUAUGGAGUCCUGUCUUGUAUGAUGAUGUGAAAUGCCAUGAUGAUGAGCAUGUGCAUUAAUGCUAUGUUAUGUAUGUGAUGCAGGUUCAUGUGUUUCCACAUGAACCAUAAGAUGCUAAUGUUUAUGUGCUAUGUUAUGCUUUCAGAAGUCAAGAUGAGAGGAACUCGUCGAUCUGCGAGAUUGACUGGAGCUCCGCCAGAGAAUGAGGGCAUGGAUGCCCAUUCCCCUGCUCUGCAGAGGGCAAGAUCUUGUAGGACG